rnacentral:rRNA from 1 species
AGCGAACGCUGGCGGCAGGCCUAACACAUGCAAGUCGAGCGGCCCUUCGGGGCAGCGGCGGACGGGUGAGUAACGCGUGGGAACGUGCCCUUUGGUACGGAACAACUGAGGGAAACUUCAGCUAAUACCGUAUGUGCCCUACGGGGGAAAGAUUUAUCGCCAUUGGAGCGGCUCGCGUUAGUUUAGCUAGUUGGUAGGGUAAUGGCCUAACAAGGCGACGAUCUAUAGCUGGUCUGAGAGGAUGAUCAGCCACACUGGGACUGAGACACGGCCUAGACUCCUACGGGAGGCAGCAGUGGGGAAUCUUGCGCAAUGGGCGAAAGCUUGACGCAGCCAUGCCGCGUGAAUGAUGAAGGUCUUAGGAUUGUAAAAUUCUUUCACCGGGGACGUUAAAGACGGUACCCGGAGAAGAAGCCUCGGCUAUGUUCGUGCCAGCCGCCGCGGUAACAC